UCUCCGUAGGUGAACCUGCGGAGGGAUCAUUACUGAGUGAGAGCCUCCGCGGCCCGACCUCCAACCCCUUUGUGAACACAACUUGUUGCUUCGGGUGCGCCCCUGCCGUUUCGACGGCGAGCGCCCCCGGAGGCCUUCAAACACUGCAUCUUUGCGUCGGAGUUUAAGUAAAUUUAAACAAAACUUUCAACAACGGAUCUCUUGGUUCUGGCAUCGAUGAAGAACGCAGC
rnacentral:misc_RNA from 1 species